GAGAUACAAGAAAUGCGGAGGAAAAGGAGAAGUUAUUUUGACGGCCAAGAAAAAUGGUAAGAAAAAACAGGCGAGCAAAAAAUGUAAACCUAAGGGGAUAUAAUCAUUGAUUGGGUAUUUUAUGAGCAUCAAUCAGAGAUGAGAGAAAAAAAUAUAUAAUGUUAUUCAUCAUUUUAAGGGUAAAAAUACAAAAAAAGGUAGAGUAGAAAAAGGGAAAGAAGAGUAACAAAAAAAUAUAUAAGCAAGACAAAAUCAGGAAAAGGGCAAUCAUCCUCAAGAGAUUUUGAGUAACUUGCUCUUUUUUCAUCAUAAUUUUUGAGAUUUUUCAUCCUCUUUCUUUUGUUCUUUACCAUCACAAUCAUCACUAUCAUCAUCAUAGUCAUCAUCAUCAGGAUGGCACAAAAGUAACAAUAAAGUAACUUCUUUUAAUAGAGACUCUUGUCACAAACUUGUCAGACUUUUUUGCCUUUUCAUCUCUUGCUAUUUCCACUAUUUAUACCGUUUCUGCUAUUUCCACUAUUUAUACCGUUUCUGCUAUUUUCACUAUCAUUUUAUGCCUUUCUAAUGUAGCAUAAAAAGCAGGAAAACAUAAAAGAGGUAAAAUGAACAAUUGGCAUAAAAAGCAUCAAAUGUGUAAUCAAAAGCUUACUGUUUUUGUUAACCAAUUUAAUCUUUAACCAGGACCAAUCAAUGUAAUCAUCUUUUCUUUAUUUUUAUUACCUGACACAUCUAUCAACAACAACAUUUUCACCUGGAAUUACCAUCAAGUAUCAUUAUUAUCAUCAUCAUACACUUUAACUCACCAAUUUACUUCUUAUGCCAUCUCAUCAACCAUGCUUUCAACAUUUAUCCCUUCAAUCUAUACUAAAGUUUCCUGAUAAAUUAUUAAAUAAUAAAAGAUCAAAAUAGGAGCUGAUAAAACUGAUAGUUCAAUCAGCAAUGCUCAAAUUCAAUCCAAAUGAGAUAAGAUCUGUUUGAUGUGCGUCAAAGUCAAUCAAUAAUUUUCAUUUAUAUCGUAAUGGCCACCACCAGAAGGGAUACACAACCAAGCAGAAAGAGAAACGUGAAACAUCAACAGUUGAAUGCAACUGUCAAAAUGAGUCAAAUGAAAGAAACAAGCGUUCACAUCAUCACAUCAAGUUAGACUACCUUAGCGGUAAAGCAAAAUCCAUUCUUUCGGCACAAUCAAAUAAUUUCAACGAUCAAAGAUUCAUAGAUCACAAAAAUAUUCACCAGUGGAUAACAAGGAUCACAAACCUCUUCAAGUGUAAAAAAGGGAAAUCAACAUCUACUUUCGACAACACACGACACAAGAAAAAAAGAAAUAAAGUAUUAGAUGCCUGAAAACACAUGACAUGAGAAUGUUGGAUAACUGUCUCUCUUUCUCUGUCUACCUUGGAAUAAGGAGGUUUCUCUUUGCGGCUUUUUCAUCCUGAUAAUAUGCAAACAUUUUCCCUCUUCUCUUAAUGGAGAUGAACUUUACAAUGUUGAUGGUUAAAAUAAGAGAAGGAGAUUUGCAAGCUAAAAACAGCAAAAAGAGCAAUUGACGAAAAAUAUUGUACAUUUUCAUCAGAUUGUUUAUGGACCAGUGGUGCUUUCAGGAUAAAUUGGCAAAAUGAGAUUGUGGACGCUGAUCAAAGAGGAUUAAUUCUUUAAGAAAGGAGGAUUAUUUAGUGGCAAUGGAACCAGUAAAGUGCCCAAAAUGUCUCUCAGAUUCACAGCUCAAUUGACUAGACUUUUUAUUUCUUUCCUCUCUCAUUUUCCGUUACUUGAUUUACCACUACCUUAAAUUUUCUUUCUCUCUUCCUUUCCAUUUCUUCCUUAUCUUGCUCUCACUCUAACCAUUUUCAAAGCUAACUGUAGUUAAGCUCAUAAAGAGUGUCAAUCUUUUCCUUUUUUUAUGUUUAUAUGUAUGACUGUGUGUUUGUCAAAUUUUAUCAAUUCCAUCUUGAGUCGAGUAUUAUAUAAACAUAUUCAGAUUUAGUCUAAUCAUUAGUUUACAUCAUUUUAGUGGAAGGAGAAAAAAAACUUCUCUUAAAAUUCAUCGUUUUCUUUUUUCUCCCUUUCCUUUUCAAAUGAUAAAAAUCAGCAUCAAAAGCAAAUAUGACAGGAAACUAUUUCCAUCAAAAAUGUCAACAUCAACCUGUAGGAUUUGACUCAUUAUAAAAGCUCAUCACCAGUAA